UUUCAGACCGGNGUAAGCCAGGUCAGUUUCUAUCUUCUAAUAAAUAUUAUAUAGUNCGAAAGGACCUAUAAUUAUAAUUAAAUUAUUUAUUUAGCAAAUAAAUGCAUUAAAUUUAGAAUUUAAUUAACCUAAAUUAUCUUUUUUUUACUAAACUUUUUAAUU
rnacentral:rRNA from 1 species